GAGGGUAGAAGACAAAAGGAGGCCAGGGGCAGUCAGGUUUACUGUGGGAACCAGAAAUUGUGUCACCAUGGCCUGGACUCCUCUCCUCCUAGUGCUCCUCUGUCACUGCACAUGUUCCAUCUCCCAGUUUGUGGCGACCCAGCCGCCUUCCCUCUCUGCAUCUCUGGGAACAACAGCCAGACUCACCUCCACCCUCAACAGUGAAAGGAUUGAUAUUUACCCCAUAUUCUGGUACCAGCAAAAGCCAGGGAGCCCUCCUCGUUACCUCCUUACCUAUGUAACAGACUCAAAUAAGCAUCAAGGCUCUGGGGUCCCCAGCCGCUUCUCUGGAUCCAAAGAUGCCUCUGCCAAUGCAGGGAUUUUGCUCAUUUCCGGGCUUCAAUCAGAGGAUGAGGCAGACUAUUACUGUCAGUCAUUUGAUGUUGGUGACGGACACAGUGAUAGAAGUAGAUGAAGAAGUUGGACAAAAACGUCAGACUGCUCUAGGGGGCGCCUUGGUGGCUCAGUCAUUAAGCAUCUGAUUUCAG